rnacentral:misc_RNA from 1 species
UCGCGAGUCUCCUCGUUCUUGUCGACAGGCUCGAUCGAAAUGCGGCGCUUGUUCUUGUAGUCGCGGCCGAAGCGGAUCGUGCCGGCGAUUUCCGCGAUGAUCGCGGCAUCCUUCGGCUUUCGGGGCUCGGACAGGUUCCGCCGGUGAUGUCGCGGGUCUUGGCGCUUUCCGUCGAAACACGGGCAAGAAUGUCGCCCGCCUUGACCUUGGCACCCACGUCAACCGACAGAAUGCCA